CUUUCUUUAGUUUCAGUUUAAUCCGUUUCUAAACCGUAGAAAAAUACUGGACACACAAAUUCAUGUAGAUUCGAUCCCUAAGUACUACAACUGAUUAGCUGUGCACUUGUGACUUUCAUUUGUUUUUAUUAAGGGUAAAACUUGUUCCCUCACUUCGUAGCACAUCACUUCAUCCCUCCAUGGUCUAUGAUGUUCUCAGACUCUCCCCAUGGAUCUCUCUGGUUUUCUCCUUUGGUGUUCUCUAUUUUGCCUCGGGUAUGAAUUAUGUUGCAUCUCUUGGUGAAAUUGUUCCAUCUGAAUGGCUGUCAAUCUCUUCAUCUCGACAGUCAUUGCUUGUUAUUGCGGCGUCUGGUUUCCUCCUCAUGGUCUGACAUCUCUACCUUUAACAGAAAAGCUAACAGAUCACCAUUACCUAGCUUUCACAAUCGAUCAAUUCUUAAAUGUCUCUUUGAGUUCCCACAUAACCAUUUAAACUAAUCCUAAUGCUAUAUUUAAGAAAACACAGACUUGAAUCCGAAGAGACAAAAAUGCAACUCGAUGGCACAGAUCUAAUGAUAUAAGUUGAAGAGACAAAAUGAACACAAAUGGAGAUCGGAAGAUGACAACACAGGAACACUAGAUCACUAUGAUUAUGGUGGAAUCUAACUAGAUCUAGCAUUCGAUCUAACAAGAACAGAUGCACAUAAGAGAUAAGAAGCAAUUUUUUUAUGAAAUUUUCUGAUAGAUCUAUAUGCGAACUGAAAAGACAAUUAACAAAACUAAACGAUCAGAAAUAGAAAGGAAAAAAAAACGACCUGAUGAAGAGGUUGAACAACGCGUAGAGUGGCUCUAGUACCACUUGAUAAGAUCUUCCAAGGACCGUCACUCUAAGGGUUAGAAUAGGAUAGAUCUUGUGCAAUGAAAUACUGAUGAUUCUAGGAAAAGAGAAGUGGAUUGAUAGGUUGCAAAAAGUUGCAGAAGACCUUUGAUAUACAAAGGGUGAUCCAAAGGAUAUGACACACCUAAAGGAUCAGUUGCUUGAUAGAUUUGACACACUAACAAGCUAAGAUUUUUCAGAGAAUAAAAUUAUCUUUACUUUAGAAAGAAUUUUUAUUAAAAGAAAUAGUUUCUCUGAAGAGAUUACAAGAGGUUAUAAAGAAGAAGAGAAGUCUUCAACAGCUAAGACUUGUCUCAAAAACUAGCAAAACAAUAAAGACAAAGUUUGAAUCAAAAG
rnacentral:lncRNA from 1 species